GCCCAACAAUUCCAGUUCUAGAACUGAUCCUACAAAUGCAAAAUGAUGGGACAGAAUACAUUUCAGCUCCAAAACCAGCAUUGUCUUUAAUGGGGACUCCUAGAGGCAUUCCCACCAAGUUAGGAACAAGACAGCACGCCCACUGUUACCAGCGUAAAUCAACAAUGUACCGGAGGUGCUAACCCACACAAUAAGGCAACAUCUCCAGCAUGAAGCCCACUGGCCUCAUGUCUGUACUUCUGGAGUCCAGGUGAGCAAAGGUCACCUGCCCACUGGACUUGGCCCACAUGGACUACACCUGAGCCACCAAUCCUCUUGGAGGCCUUCUUGCCUCUAUUUGCUGCAUUCCUUCUUCUCCCCUUUGGACUGCGAGCUCCUCAAGGGAACAGCCUAUAGCUUCCUAUUCAUCUCCCACUCACCCGACCUGCCACACUGGCCAGCCCACUGGAUGGGAGGUAACAGUGUGCUGGACAUUCUGAGGGCUGCAGGGGCCUCCUGUGGACCCUGCUCUCUUGCAGGUGACCCAUCAGUGCGCUGUACUUCUACAAAUUGUUGGAAUGGAGACUUUUUUUUUUUUCUAAGUUAUUUGAGUCAAAACGAUCUUGACGGGAAGCUGUUAGAGGUCUCAUGG
rnacentral:lncRNA from 1 species